GGGCUGCAGCCCCGGGGGCUGCCCCCGGAGCCUUCACAGCUCGUACCCGCUCUGAGGCGGCCGGCCGAGGCCGGGGGGCAGGAGCAAGGAGAAGGGCACAACCCUGCCGGGGCCCUGACGUGCUCCCGGAGAGCCAAGGGUUAACAUCGGCUCGCUUUUACCGAGCAGCCCUCCUUUCGCAUUGCAUCGAAGUCCUUUAAAGCUGUUUCUCUUCCCUCCUCCUCUCCCCGGCUGGAAAGACGAUUUAUCCAUGCAUGCUAAGUAAACAGAUCUUUGUUUUCGUCUUCCACCCACUGCCCUCUUUCUCCAGCUCGAAGCUGGAGUCUCGCCAAGGCGGCUGCAGCGAUCGCUGCCUCCACACACACACACGCUCACACACACGGGGGGGAAGAAGCCGGGUUUCUCGGAUGAGGCAACGAGCCUGCAAUUGGCAGGGACAAGGCAGGAAUUGUAAUUGCACUUCAUCAUGUGAUGGCUUAUGAAAGAGGAAGUUUGGAUGUUUUAGUCACGUACUCCUUUGCCCUCUUGCUUUAGCCUCCAGGUUCUCCGAAGGAAAAAAUUACAUAUAUUUAUAUAUACUGGUGGAAAGCCAAGAAACAGUGUGUUUGCACAUUUCAGAUCAUAAGCAGAGAUGGAGUGCUAGCUGAGCAAGGCUGCAGGGGAAGAAGAAAGCAAGGCUUUCAGCUGUGGCAGGCUUUUAACUGCAGGACAGAAAAUGUGAUCUGUAUUCAUUUUCCUUUAUUUUUAAUCAAAACUAGCUGCAUGGAAAAGUCAAGACGAGCAGUAUUCUAGUUCUGCCGCAUUUACUGCCUUUGAAUUCAUUCUGGUGGAAAAGGCAAAAAAAAGCCAAACAAAAACCCAUGUUCCUGAGCUCAAUGACAAAAAGCUGAUAAAAAAUAGUGGCAGUGCUACAUAGGAAAUGCGGUUUAUGUAUCAAAUCACAAAAAAAAAUACCUCAAAGCUGCUGACUGCUACAGCAGUAACUGCACAGGAAUUGAACAAAUAAUGCGUUUGUUUCUUGUUCCCUUUUUUUUCUCAUUUUUGAAACAGAAACCAUCCUUUUGUGCCUGAUCUCUGUGAAAUGCCGCUUGCUAUGACACACCAAGGCUAUAGGUAGGAGCAGUGAGUGCUGGAGGACGUCUGAUGGGAUGUGGGGCUGGGCAGGUCCGGGGCAGUGCCUGGUCAAGGAGCACCAUGGUAGCAUGGAUGGGGGUCUAGCACGGUGUGGAAAGCCUUUGUCUUGUUCUGGUGUGCCCAGUAUCAUGGGUUAGGGAAAGAAGGGAGAGGAAAGGUUGGAGAGGGCAGCUCUUUGAGAUGAACUCUGUCUGCCACCCCUACAUUGCCAUGGCAAGCCCCUUUUCACUGUGUGUUUUUUGGCUUUUUUCAGUGAACCACACUGAGAUUUUACUGUGUUUUUCUUUCUCCCUGCAGGAUCCUAUUUACUUUCCCACCUGUCCUCUGUGCUAGUAGAAGUGAUCGCAUGCAGAUCCUUGUCCCAGAACUUUGCCCCUAGCCUGCACUUUACCCACAUAUUUAUCCCCCAUGGGGCCUGCCCUUCCUUCUGUGUCCAAACCAGUGCUCCUCACUUGCUCUCCUGUGCCCUUGGCAUUCCUCUUUCCCUCCCCAUCGAGAACGCUCUCACAUACUCAUCCAGCAGAUAUACACUGCUUCCUCCACAGUUCUUAUUGGCAUCCUUCUGUUGCGGCAGAAGUCCUGCAGGGUAGUAUCAAAAUGGCCAGAGCCAAGAUGGAAAAGUGAUUAUGUUGGAGAGUGCUACCACCUCUCCUUCACUGAUCCAUAAUGAAUCAUGGAGCUUGUUCUCCCAGAACUGAGAGAAGAGAGGCUGGGAAUAGUCCUUGAGGUUUUGGAUUUAGUCAGAUGCAGGUGAUUGUGGGCCAAGAAUGUUAGUGCCACAGGGAAAAAAAAAGAUACUGAUGCAAAUGAGAGUGUAAUCAGGCACAGCUUGUUGACAUAAAUAGGCUUUGGACAGGCUCAUGGUAAGCCACCGAUCCUGCAGAUGUUUACAACCACUUAUAACUUUAUUCACGGGAGCAUCACUAUGAAUGUAAAGCCAUGUGCACUUACGUGCUCAUCGGGUGAGAGCACGCUUGCCUGAGAGCCGCUUGUCAGUGGCAUGCUGACGGCUGCCCUGCAGCCUGGAGCUGACUGUUGAUGGCAGGAGCUGACAGAGGCACUGGCACAGAAAUACUCUACUGAGGCUGGAGAGAGGUCACUGCACUAGCUCCCUGCAAGGCAGGACAUGCCAGAGGAUUGAGAGGGACUUGAGCAGCUACUCAGUGUCUGCCCUUUCCCAUACAUGGUGCCUUUUAUUAACUCCUUGAAAACAGCUGCAUUGAACGCUGCUGUUUCGUGUUAACUUCUGAAGAGCUGUGAGGCACCUAAGUAGAGCCUGCCUAGAAAAGGAAACAGCAGCAGGAGACUGGUGUACCAUCUCCUGAAAUACAAGUAGAAAAAAAAUAUCAAGGAAAAGAUCAUGGAAGUACUUGAGAAUUUCAGAAGUUACUACCCUUGGAAGAGAAAGAAAAACUUCAGAGAGACACUUCCAGAUACCAGAAGAAAGGGCAGUACCCCUCCUUUGCAGGGAACCCCUCAGAGAGCAUUCUGCGCAGUCAGAGGAGGGAAGAAAUGCUCUUCUCUGUGCUUCAGCCCAUCAUAGCCUUAUCUUUUUGAUGACUGCAGUGUAAUAUGAACAUACAUCCCUCCUGCUCACGCUGAGCUCCAAAGAGAGGUGCCUGCUAGGAAGUACAGUUGAGUUCAUAUUUGAUUAAAAGAACACCAGCAACAUUAAUAACUGGUAGACCUGUGCUGGAAUUGGCAAUUAAACUCAGUCUCCUCCUGCGAAUUUUAGUCAUUAAAGGAACUUGCCAAAGGCUGGGACUGGGGUAUCACUUAGUCUCCCAAAUAGGACUGGAUGAGGGACCAGUCAUCUUCAUAAUGGGUCCUGCCAAGAACCUUGCAUCAUGCUUGAGGAAUGGGCAUGUCAGUGAGCUCACUGGGGUAGCUGCAGAGGCUGCUUGCACAGCCACCACUCUCUGCUGAUUCAGGGGUCUUGCAUGUGCUCCUGGAAGGUGCCAGAUAGGCAUCUCUCAACAACCUGCCCCCUAACACAUCUCAUCACAGUCUCAACACAGUGUUCAUCAUGAUCAGGAGCACUAAGCAGCUGCCUCUUUGCUCCAUGGUCUGCUUCCACUUCCCAUACGCCUUGUGCAGCCUCAGAGGUUGAUGACUUUUGAAUAUUGCAGAUCUGGGAUGGGUUUCAAUGGCUGAUCCAGAGGCAAGAGGGUGAUCAUCUUGAUCAUCCAUUUUCCCUCUGCCAGUUACUAUUAUUGCUAGCUGCUGUUACACACACAUUGUAAUUAAGUGGAAAAAAUACAGACCAAAUGAAAAAGGGUACAAGCCUCUCAAAAACAUCUCUGCUUUAGCUGCAGCCUGACUCAGCCUUCAAUUAACAUUCUUACUUAAAAUAGUUUUGUUAUACAGCUUUUGUUAAAUCUUACAUAAUAGCAGACCAAAUCACCACCCCAGAGCGCCAUGAUGAAGAGAAGAGCUUGGCCCUGGUUUCCAGAGCACCAUCUCAUCCUGUCUUUGAUCCAGAUGGUCUUGGAUAUGGGUGAGUUACUGGAGGAGAGCAUGCAGCACACUUGCAGCUUUGCCUUGGUGGGCACAAUGAGCUGGUGCUGCCACUAGAAGUGGUCCCACUCUCCCCCACUCUGGCUGCUUGGUUCUGCCUAACGCUGCCCUUGGCAUCUUACCUGCAUUGCUGCUGGAGCAAAUCCGGCAGCACCAACAGGUGCAGAGCAGCUAAACCUGCCCAGGUGCCCCCAUCCUGCUGUGCUGAGGGUGCUCCUGGGGCAAAAGGGAACAGGCUGGGAUGGCAGGCUGGGAAGGGACCUCAGCAGUGGGAUCACUUUGGAGCUGUAGCAGAAGCCUCUCAUGCUGCACCUCAUGCUGCACCUGUACCCAUCCCGUCACUCACCAGUGGCUGUGCCCCAUCUCAUCAGGCUGCUGGAGUGAACACUGGGGAAGAGGAAGGGACACAUGGACCAGCUGGGCUUCCAAGGGUCACAGGGCCGCUCUGGAUAUAGGUCUACCAUUUCCUGCCAGGGCCUGAGGAGCUUGAGAACUGGGAUCCAUCUCUUGCAGAGCACUAUAGCAUCCCUGCCUCCAUCACCAACAUUGAUAAUGUGGGAAAACCCCUGCACUGCAGAGGAGUGUCCUUAUGGCUCAGUAGAGCUACAAAAACAUUAAGUACCAGCAUGAUUUUUUUGAUGUUGUUCUUAUCGGGCCUGGUGUCUAACUGGUACAAAACUGGAAUAAAACAUGUGUACAUGUGUGUGUGUGUGUAUUCAUUUAUGUGCGUGCCCACAAAAUAUAAAAGGGGACUUUGUAUUAAAAUCUGGAAAAUUGGCACAUGGGAUGCAGGAAGUGAGGAAGAUACUCCCUUGUCUACUUCAGUUUGGAGGACUACUUUCCGUUUGAAGCCAUUGAUGUCAA